AAUGUCACAAAAGUUGAUAUGACUUGGCAGCAGAUAUACAGGGACAGAAGUUUUGGAUUCAGCUGGAAAGAUGAGAAGUCCCAUAUGAUUAUGUCAAAGUAAGUAUUUGAAAGCUGUCACUGAAAACAGAGAUGACAGCACAAAGUGGGGAGGAAAAGAGAAAUGUCUAGACGUGUGGUGAGGCUCCCCAAGUUACGCAGCAUGACAACAGAAGAAAAAGAAAAUCAGGAUUUGUGAACUUGCUCCUUUGAUUCCAGUCCCCCCCCAAAAAAACCCUAAUGCUAAAUCGUCCAGCUACUCUACAAAUGGCUUUGUGGUUUGAUUACAAUAUAAAAUUUCUGAAAUAAAAAUAAAAUGUAAAACAUGGAGAUUUUUCUUAUAAGGAAGACAGUUUCCCCAUUUCAGUUGAAUCACUCAUUAUAGCAGCAUUUGUUUUGGACCUUAAGAAGAGCGGGCGCACUGAGAAGCAGGAUUUCUUUACUUAGAAAGCAUUAAUGCUGCCUGCAGAGAGGUUUUCACAGGGCAGACUGGAACGGCUUGCAAAAUGCACCCAGGUAUUCUGGGAGCGUAUGAAUAUAAGCAGAAAGCCGGUCGUGCACACAUAGCAAAGCCCUUCUGAGAGACCUCGCUUUUACCCACACCCCCUCCUUCUACCUAAGUUCCUGACCUCUUGUGUGCAGUCUGUCAAUCACACGGAAUCUUAUCCAGCCAUAAACAUAUCCUUUGUGACAUGCACAAACUUGAGGGGAAGAUAAAACUAACUUUACAGCUUCACGUACCAUAAGCUGGGAUUUGAACUCGCACCAUUAUAUGUAUAAAAAGAGCAACACACUAGCUUAGGGGGCAGCUUUUACUCUGCAUUUCUAAAGCAGGAGGCAAGAUUACAUCUUCCCAGAUCUCAAAGGGACCUUCUUCUAUUUUUACAGAUGCCCAUCUGUUCUGCAGAGUAAACAUACCAAGGAACAGGAGGAAGUUCUAGCAGCUGCAAGACUGACCAUGCAUUUCCACAGUGGCUCCUCAUCUUGGCUGUUGAACCUUGGUUUCCCCCUCCCUUUACUUACCUACACUUUAGCCUCUCUAAAUUACUUACCCUUCGACAUUUCUCCGAUG